rnacentral:rRNA from 1 species
AUUGAACGCUGGCGGCAGGCCUAACACAUGCAAGUCGAACGGUAACAGGAAGAAGCUUGCUUCUUUGCUGACGAGUGGCGGACGGGUGAGUAAUGUCUGGGAAACUGCCUGAUGGAGGGGGAUAACUACUGGAAACGGUAGCUAAUACCGCAUAACGUCGCAAGCCCAAAGAGGGGGACAUUCGUGCCUCUUGCCCUCGGAUGUGCCCAGAUGGGAUUAGCUAGUAGGUGGGGUAACGGCUCACCUAGGCGACGAUACCUAGCUGGUCUGAGAGGAUGACCAGCCACACUGGAACUGAGACACGGUCCAGACUCCUACGGGAGGCAGCAGUGGGGAAUAUUGGACAAUGGGCGCAAGCCUGAUGCAGCCAUGCCGCGUGUAUGAAGAAGGCCUUCGGGUUGUAAAGUACUUUCAGCGGGGAGGAAGGGAGUAAAGUUAAUACCUUUGCUCAUUGACGUUACCCGCAGAAGAAGCACCGGCUAACUCCGUG